CAAACCUGAAAGUGGACAAGAGGGAAGUCAAUAUCUGCUGAUUUUAUCAUGCAACAAUGCGAGAUAUGUGUUGACAUAAAAAAAAAAUCAUCGAACAAAAAAAAUGAUUAUAUCAUGCAACCUCUUCUGCAAGAUCCUUUUUAGGCAUUUUCCUAACCACCUCAGGUGGAUAACCACAAAAUGUGUUAUACCCAGUAGAUUCAGCAUAAAACAAACGGGCUUGCUCUUCCUUGCUCCCUUCAUCGAUAGACCACCAACCAAGAAGCCU